UACGAAGGGGGCUAGCGUUGCUCGGAAUUAUUGGGCGUAAAGCGCACGUAGGUGGUCUGACAAGUCGGGUGUGAAAUCCCUCGGCUUAACCGAGGAAGUGCAUUCGAAACUAUCAGACUUGAAUACUCAAGAGGGUCUCGGAAUUCCCGGUGUAGAGGUGAAAUUCGUAGAUAUUCGGAAGAACACCAGUGGCGAAGGCGACUUACUGGACACAUAUUGACGCUGAGGUGCAAAAGCGUGGGGAGCAAACAGG
rnacentral:rRNA from 1 species